rnacentral:lncRNA from 1 species
CCUGCCCUUCCCUCUGCAGAGCUUUCUCCCUCCCUUCAGGAGCUUAUUUCGCUCUCUCAGUCUCCAUAUCUAUUUCUUUCCCCCUUCUUCCCUCCUCCCCUGCUUUUCUCCUCCUUGCCAUCCCUCCGGAGCCCCAGUAUGGGUCUCCCCGCCUUCCCCUCUCUCAGGCUGCAUCUCCCCCCUCCUUAGUGCUCACCCCUGCACCUCUUUCUUUGUAUUCUUCUCACCCUCUCCCAGCCUCGCCAGCAUCUCUCCUCCCCCGCCCGGCUUCGGCCUCCCCCUGCCUCCCCAUCUUCAGCUCAGUCUCCUCCCCCUCGAUCCUCUUCCCUCCCCUCCGCCUCGCCCCACUCCCACUCCCAGCCCGCAUGCCAGGAUUUCUCUCCUCCCUGGGGGUCUCAGUGCAUCUCCUUCUCCUCUCUGCCUGCCUCCUCCCUCACCGAAGGGUUAGCGGACACCCAUCCUUUUCUGCUUGGGGACCCCACCACCACCCGCAUCACUGCCGCUGUCUCUUCUUCACCGUAUCCUUCUCUACCCACCCUCUUCUCUCUUCUCUUCUCCCUGCCCCUUUAAAUCUGCCUGGCCCAGCCUCCCCCGUGAUGCUGGGAUGGAGCAAACAUUGAUUUGUGCUGGGAUGGAAUCGGAAUUUUGAUUUAUUUUUCCUCUCCCAACCAUAAGAAGAAAAAAAUAAUAAAAACACCCCCUCUUGAGAGCCCCCUCCCCCUUUGCAUCCAGCUCCCAGCUCUUCUUCCCUAUCUCCAUCCAAGGCAGAUUUUUUCCCCUACACUAUUCUCAUCUUCCCCCACCCUUGCCACUACCUCGCCCCCCCACCCAGCCUGCUCCUCCAGCUGGGGAGAGAGGGGACUCUCCGGACUCCCCCACCUUUCCUCUCUGGGUUGGAGCAGUCUCUCCGGAAGGGGAGGGGGCUUGGCUUGUCCGGGCGAGGUGGGAGUGGAGGUAUCCUGCCAUGGAUGCUGUGCCGGGGAGGCAGCCUGAGCCCCAGCCCACAUGAGACGCCGAAGAACCGGGGCAGAGGGGUCCUGACAGCAGCCAGGGAAACGGGUGCCCUACGAUUCUGCCCAGCCCCCUCUCAGGACCCCCAAACUGCCAUCCACACUCGACACUUCGGGG